rnacentral:lncRNA from 1 species
GAACCUCCCUCUCUGUUACUACUCCCUUUGGAUUUAUCCAGUAUUCUUAGACGUCACCAGGGCCAAGCCACGCAUAUAUAAAUUGAAAUAUUGUUUUCAAAACCUACUCAAGCUAUCUCUUGACGAACAAGAUUAGUACCAUCUAAUUACAACCCUGAAGUUUAUUGUAUCUCAAGGCACUGUGAAGUUUGCAGUAGCAUGUAUAGGCAAAAAGGAAAGUCCAAAGAGAGGAAAAGAAAGCAGGAGAGAUCUGAAAUGACACAAGAAGUGACUCAGAAUGGGAAGAUUGUGCACUCCUUGUUGUCCCCUAAUGCACAUGGAAGUAUGCAACAGAAGGUGUGAAAAUAACCCAGGUGCGAAGGCCAAUGGUUUUCAUACAUUUCAAGCUUCUCUCCAUGAUGUCCUUUUCCAUGUAAAAUCUAAAUCAG